UACGGAGGGUGCGAGCGUUGUCCGGAAUCACUGGGCGUAAAGGGCGCGUAGGUGGCGCGGCAAGUCAACGGUGAAAGCUCGACGCUCAACGUCGAGUCGGCCGUCGAUACUGCUGGGCUUGAGCACUGUAGAGGCAGAUGGAAUUCCGGGUGUAGCGGUGGAAUGCGUAGAGAUCCGGAAGAACACCGGUGGCGAAGGCGGUCUGCUGGGCG
rnacentral:rRNA from 1 species